rnacentral:rRNA from 1 species
GACGAACGCUGGCGGCGUGCCUAACACAUGCAAGUCCUACGAGAAAGGGAUAGCAAUAUCCUGAGUAAAGUGGCGCACGGGUGAGUAACGCGUAGGCAAUCUACCAUGAGGACGGGAAUAACCCCGCGAAAGCGGGGCUAAAACUCGAUGAUGCAGCGGCUCCGCAUGGAGACAGUUGUUAAAGUCUCGGCGCAAGUCGGGAGCCUCAUGAUGAGCCUGCGUCCCAUUAGCUCGUUGGCGGGGUGACGGCCCACCAAGGCGACGAUGGGUAGCUGGUCUGAGAGGAUGAUCAGCCACACUGGAACUGAGACACGGUCCAGACUCCUACGGGAGGCAGCAGUGAGGAAUAUUGCGCAAUGGCCAAAAGGCUGACGCAGCGACGCCGCGUGGAGGAUGAAGUCCGUUUGGAUGUAAACUCCUUUUGCAGGGGAUGAAUGUUCCGCUUCGCGCGGACUUGACAGUACCCUGCGAAUAAGGAUCGGCUAACUACGUGCCAGCAGCCGCGGUAAUACGUAGGAUCCGAGCGUUGUCCGGAAUUACUGGGUGUAAAGGGCGUGUGGGUGGGUCUCUAAGUCGGGGGUGAAAUCCUACAGCUUAACUGUAGAAUUGCUUCCGAAACUGGAGAUCUUGAGUGCGGUAGANGGAGAUGGAAUUCAUGGUGUAGCGGUGAAAUGUGUAGAUAUCAUGAAGAACACCGGUAGCGAANGCGGUCUNCUGGCCCGCAACUGACACUGAGGCGCGAAAGCGUGGGAAGCAAACAGGAUUAGAUACCCUUGGUAGUCCACGCCCUAANCGAUGGGUACUAGGUGCUGGUCCCGCUUGGUGCUUGCAAGCCAAGCCCCAAGCGGGAUCAGUGCCGAAGCUAACGCAUUAAGUACCCCACNUGGGGAGUACGAUCGCAAGGUUGAAACUCAAAGGAAUUGACGGGGGCCCGCACAAGCAGUGGAGCAUGUGGUUCAAUUCGAUGCAACGCGAAGAACCUUACCUGGGUUUGAAAGGCCAGUGACAGGCGAUGAAAGUCGCCCUCCCCGCAAGGGGCACUGGUACAGGUGCUGCAUGGCUGUCGUCAGCUCGUGCCGUGAGGUGUUAGGUUAAGUCCUGCAACGAGCGCAACCCCUACACUUAGUUGCCAUCAGGUCAUGCUGGGCACUCUAAGUGGACUGCCUACGCAAGUAGUGAGGAAGGUGGGGAUGACGUCAAGUCCUCAUGGCCCUUACACCCAGGGCCACACACGUGCUACAAUGGCCGCUACAAAGGGUCGCAAAGCCGCGAGGCGGAGCUAAUCCCAAAAAAGCGGUCUCAGUUCGGAUUGGAGUCUGCAACUCGACUCCAUGAAGCCGGAAUUGCUAGUAAUCGCGCAUCAGCACGGCGCGGUGAAUACGUUCCCGGGCCUUGUACACACCGCCCGUCAAGCCAUGGAAGCUGGGGGUACCCGAAACCGGUGAGCUAACCUCAACGCAAGUUGGGGAGGCAGCCGACUAAGGUAAAACCAGUGACUGGGGCU